CAGGCUGAGGGGGUAUUUUGUCCUUGCCUGAGGCCAUGUGGAAUAACUCUUUUGCUGCUCCUUGGUAUUGUCUUGGCUCCGUGCCUUUUUAGACCUUUGUAGGACACUUUGUUGCCUGUGAAUAACUAACUUGAGAGAAGAGACAUUAGAGUUUGAUGUCAGCCUAGUCCUGCUGUUCCAGGAGAGCUGGGGCUCAUGUUCCACCUGGGAGCUGGGACUGCUAGAAAAAUCUGUCACCCAUCUGCCAGAUCUCUUGAAGAGGGAAGUGCACUUUCUGGAUGAAGAGAAAAAAGAUUUGGAAAAAAAGCCAGAAGACAAAGAGAUUGGGUUAGAGCUGAUCACCGAUAAGAGAGAAACUCCCUAAAGGCAAACUUGUCCCUUGUCCUGACACACUGUACACAAAUCUCAUCGAGUUCAGCUUUUUCCUCUCUCCCUGUGACUGAAUCACAUCCUGUCGCUCGCUCAUGCGAGAUCUGUCCGAGCACUGAAGAAAUCAAACAUUGCAAGAUGUGGUUGUCUGAAAUACCAAGGGAGGUCCGAAUGUCCCAGGUGAGGGGUUGGAUACAAUUGACCUCGUGGGGCUUCCCAGAAGCCCAGCUAUGCCAGGCAUCCAGAGACACUGGCUCGUGCUUCUGCUAGGACACAGACCCAUCACAGGUUGGCUGGAGCGAUGCUUUCACGUUCUGAGGUUUUACAUCUCCACGGGUGACAGGCAGCUGGAACUUCUGUCGCUGUGACAUCUCCAAAGCAACGCAACAGCAGCAAUAAUAAAUGGCAACAACCGGGAACAGCAGCGGAGAGAAAACAGUUGCGCAAGAAGCGUGAGAAGCUCUUGUGUCACGCGAGACCCUUGGAGCCGGUCGCAAUCCUGCCUGUGUGUGACCAGCAGAUGCCACUGCAGCCCCGGGAACGGGGACUGCAGCGCUGUAACUGCGGCACAGGGGACACCUGGUGGCCUUCUCGGUCCUCUAAGCUGAUGAGAGCCCAAUGCUGUGCCUCCUGAUACGGGGAGAGUAAAGGGCACACUUGGGGUAAAGCCCCCUACAGACACACCUGCAUGAUUAACUCUUAGGGCAGGGGAUGCUCUUCCUAUGUAGCACUCUCGGAAAUGGUUGUUCUUCCUGUUUGAGUUUCCUGAUUGCUCUUGCCUUAUGAUAAAGGGAGAUCCAUCCUGCUGUUUCUGCCCCUACAUGAAGGUGUGCAAUUAAUAUUUCCUCCUACGUUACUGUUUUGGGCUCAGCAAGCACUGGAGGUUUCUGUCACUAUCAAUUUCCUUGGCAUCGUAUUCAGGAUUUCUUAGACACUGGUUAUUGCAUGUUCAUGAAAUACUUUGAGCAAUCUACUUUCUUUAGUACAAAGCUGAUAUCUGGGAGAAAAUAUCUUCCAUUGAAAUAUUACUUAAAAACUUGAGGUCAUGAUAUACUUUUUUAUAUACAUAUUGUUUUGUUUGUUUGUCGUCCUGUCCAGUGGGUUCUCCAUUCGUAGCCUGAAUUCCUCUUAACAUGAACCCUCCUUCCUAAGGGUACGUUUGUGUAUUCUGGAUCACUUUGGAAAAGCUCUUGUGGAUGUGAAUGGUCCUGUUUAAGGUGUUCCUUUGUGCUUGGCCUGGUGUGACUUUUGCUGGAUCCUCAUGGAUCAAACCGUGAGUGAUUUUUACCUUGGCUGACACUGCAAAGGUGGGUUGCUGUUUUGGUUAAACAAUACUCUACUUCAAGCAGGGCAGAUCCCUUAUAAUUUGAAAUGGCUACCCUCUCAUUCUUAUAAAUGUACUCCCUUUUGAAAUAGUCAGUCCCCCUUAACAAGCCUUGAAGGUUUUGGGUCAUGAGCUGCACCUCUCUAAAAAUAAUAUUUCAUCCCAAUAUUUGAGCAAAGUUGUUUCAUCUUGUUUUAUUAUUUUACUUGCCACUUUUGGUUUUAUUUGAAAUUUAAGCCCUUUGAUGCAAUCCAGUUGCAUUGUCAGUCUUUACUGUGCAGCUGAAAGAAAGGGAGAUACACCUUGACAAAGUGGAUGGUAACAUUAAUGAGUGACUAUGUGAAUAGAAGAAAGAAAUAAAUUACGAAAUCUGGAGAAUGGGA